CUUAGUCGUCAUUUCUUUUUUUUUUGUCCGCAAAAUGAGAAGAUAAGGACUGAUCCAUUGUGUGACAACAAGUUAAGGGCAGAAAGUCUCGGAGGUGGCUAUUUGCAGUGAGAGUCUCCUUUGUUUAUGAGGAUAAUUACCGUCAUUUUUUUUUUUUUUUUUAACUUAUGUAAGGACGUUCCACAGAGCAGCUUAAACACUUAAAUCUCUUCAGGGACCUUUUAGGGGUCUGUCACUCUGAGUUAGUUACUUUCUCAAAUUCCCAUGAAGCACUAACUUCUGGCCGUAAAUAUUUCCAUAAUGUCUUUUUGAGACACCGUCUUGGCAGUGACAAGCUUUUUUUUCUACAGGCAUCCCGAGACUACCAAUUACAAGCACGAUGAGGAUAUUUAGCAGAAGCCCCCGGUCUGAAAGUCGCUUUUAAGUUAAGCGGGCGGCCGCUCAGACAAUCAAGUAAGUUAGGGGAGCCUGCGGCCCUGGGAAUUUUUUCCGCAGUUGAAACAAGAAGGAAGGGGGCCCAAAAAAAAAAAAAAAAAAAAAAAAGUCUGGGCAGGCUGUUGAUGAAGCGACUGUAGUUAUACAGAAGCUGCAGUGGUUUUAGUCCCACAAUUUACAUUGGUUAAGUGACCUUGAGGUGUGCCAGGAAACAAACGCUGGAUUGUGGUGUAUUUUAAUGUAUUUAUUUUAUUUAUUUUUUUUGGGGGUGGGUCAUCAGUUUAUUAUUUUGAAAAGUGUGUAUCAAUGUCAAAAGGAUUUGAUGGACGAGAGGAUACGUGACAAGAUGAUGGAGGAAAGACGAAUGGAAAGUCGCAAAGUGGAUCGAUGUCCAAAUUUGAAUAUAAAAUGGAUGACGGACGGAUGAUGUAAGCGAGGCGAAAUUACAAACGGAAGAGUUGAC